AUUGAACGCUGGCGGCAGGCUUAACACAUGCAAGUCGAGCGGGGUGAUGGUGCUUGCACUAUCACUUAGCGGCGGACGGGUGAGUAAUGCUUAGGAAUCUGCCUAUUAGUGGGGGAUGACAUCUCGAAAGGGAUGCUAAUACCGCAUACGUCCUACGGGAGAAAGCAGGGGAUCACUUGUGACCUUGCGCUAAUAGAUGAGCCUACGUCGGAUUAGCUAGUUGGUGGGGUAAAGGCCUAACAAGGCGACGAUCUGUAGCGGGUCUGAGAGGAUGAUCCGCCACAAUGGGACUGAGACACGGCCCAGGCUCCUACGGGAGGCAGCAGUGGGGAAUAUUUGACAAUGGGGGGAACCCUGAUCCAGCCAUGCCGCGUGUGUGAAGAAGGCCUUAUGGUUGUAAAGCACUUUAAGCGAGGAGGAGGCUCUUUUGGUUAAUACCCAAGAUGAGUGGACGUUACUCGCAGAAUAAGCACCGGCUAACUCUGUGCCAGCCGCCGCAGUAA
rnacentral:rRNA from 1 species